CUCGGUGGUGGCCAAGGGCUGGUCGCAGUACCUCGGCGAGGUAAUGGGCACGACGCCGAUCGUGCACCUCGGUUCGGUGUCGUUCGACUGGGGC
rnacentral:tRNA from 1 species